UUUUUGUUCCUCAGGUCUGUGCUAAAUGAGUGAAAACCAGGACAUCCCUUGCCCGAUUGGGGUUGUUUCUGACGCUGAGAGUGAUCCACCUGAAAAUGAACCUGAUGAUACCCAGAUGCAUUUGUCGAUGUCGACUGGAAGCAAGAAAAGAAGCCGGGAAAUCGAUGACUCAGUGGAGGCUAAAGGAAAAGCCCCCAAGAAAUGGACAUCGGGAAAAGAAGCUUUAAACUCCCUAUUUAUUCUAAAUAUUUUUUAUCACACUGAAAUUAUCUCAUUAAUCAGUUAAUAAUAUAUUAAAAUUUUAUUUUCUUAACAAAUUGUGUGGUGGUUUAGUAAUUAGUUUAUGCAAAUACAGUAUUGAAAUAUGAAUGCUUUGAAUUAACGUUUAUCUAUUAUUUAUUCGUAAGUAAGUAUAAUCUAUCAUUGUUAUGUCAUUUAAAAUGAAAUGAUCAUUUUGGAAGGAGGAAUUCUAGUUUGUGGUUGAUCAGGUUAUUUAGGGGAUUUAUUUUAAUGUUUUUGUUACUCAUCUCUCUCCGCCGUGCCUUUAAAAGAUUUCACCUCUCAUGUCAUAACCCUUUUUAUGGAUUAUCUUGGCAUAAUAUUUUGCAAUUUCUUCCUAUUUUGGCAUCUUCUAAUUUAUGUUUUUAUUAAAAUUUUAAAAAUUAUCAUAAUUUUUAAAAUUUUCAAUAUUCCUAUAAUUUUUAUAAUUUUUAAUCAUUUAAAAAAAUUAAUAAUUUUCACAAAAUUUUAAUAAUUUUUACAACUUUUAAAUAUUAUUUAUACAUGUAUAGUUUUUAAGUUUUCUACAAACUUUAUAUUUUGUACAAGUUUUUUUAUAAUAAUAUUAUUAAAUUCAAUUAAUUUUUAAAUGAUAUUUUUGUUCCCAAUAAAAAAUUAAAACAAUUAUAAGUUUAGGACCUAAAUUGGAUCCAAAAAAUAAGUCAGUCUUCAAAAAGCAGUUUAAUUCAAAUAAUAAAUGAAAAUAAAAUAGGCUUAAAUACAUAUUAGGCACCAAACUUGGCAUCUUCUUUUAAUUUGAUGUUUAUGGUUUUUUUCCCAACUUGGUACCCGAACAACUUUUCGAUCUAUUAUUUUAGUGCUUUUUUGCAACUGUUUUCAUUUUCAAUGACGCGAUAAUACCAUUUUGUGGCACAUGAAAAAUAUUAUUUGAAAAUUUGAAAACUUCAAAUUUCUAUAAAAAUUCAAAUAUAUAAAUUUAACAAAUAUAAUUUUAAAAUUUAUAUAAAUUUUAAAAAAAUCUCAAAAUUUAAAAUAUAUGUAAAAACUGAAAAGAAAAUUACAAAAAUAACAUAAUUUGAGAGUGUCAAGAGUUUUAAAAUUAACGACGUCAUUAAAAAAUUUACAAUUUCAAGUACUAAAUAACUUAUAUAUAAAUUUACGAUUUUAAUUACUGAAAUUCAUAAAAUUCAAACCUAACAAUGUUAGUCAUCAUGUUAUACAAAAUGAAACAUGUAAAAAUAACACCAACAUAAAAAUAUAUCAAUGUCUCAAAAUCCAUAUAAUGUUUCAAAGUCUAUAUUAGUAUAAAGCAUCUCAAAUAUGAUUAUAACACAACAAAAUAUAUGAAUACGAUGCAGAUAAACAAAUAAAUAUAGAAACAGAUAAAUUAUAAAAAUAAUCAUUUUUGUUUUGAAUAACAUAUAUUAAUCAUUUAAAUAAUAUCUUAUUAAUUUUAAAGUAAGUGCUAAUCUAAUAUUAAUCUAACAUUAAUCUUUAAUUUAUAAUUUAUUCGCAAAUAAUGGAAAGUUACAUAUUUUUUUUAAAAUAUUUUAAUAACUAAAGCAAAAUAAAAAGAGUAGGAAUUAAAUUGACGAAAAUUAUAAAAAUUGAGGGAUUAAUUGUACCUAAUUUUUUAACAGAGUUAAUAGAAAUAGUUAAUGGAGAAUUUGAAAAUGAACAAAUGAAAAAUAAAAUAUUAAUUUUGAGCAAAUAAAAAUAGAAAAAUUAACUCCUAAGUAUAGGAAAUUGCAUGUCUUUUGAGUCUAAAUUUGUUCAUUUCAUAAACCAAUUUUAGGACAACGACAUCAACAAAGUGGAGUACAAAGAUUUUCAAGGCUUAAAAGAUGCAUUAGCAAACAGUGUCUGGGAGAAGUUCCAGACUUCCUCAAACCUAUUGGGAUCCAAGUAGAAGAUGCUUGUGAAAAAGCUACUGAGUUUUCUCAUACUGGAAUACAGAUUCUGGUAUGCGCUGUAAUUAAAGAGAUGGAAGAUAUGUCACUUGAGGAUUUGGAUUAGGGUACAUUGAAAAAGUGAGCAGCUGCGGAGGAUUUGCUAAUGAACAUGGUUUUCAAGUAGCAUUUGCUAAUAAUAUGUUGCAGAGGAUUUGCGUCAAGUAUGUUUAUGGUUUUCAAUGUCUAAAAUCGUGAGUUAUUGGAUUGAACAUGUUUUUGUAACAUCUGCGUUUUAACUUGGGUUAGGUACAGUAAUAGAUCGGGUCAAGAAUUAGUAUAAAAUUUUUAAAAUAUAAUAAAUAGAAAUUUUGAGUCUUAAAUUAGGAAGUAUAUAGAUUUAAUAAGAAAUUAGAAAAAAAAAUACUCUUUAGAUAGGAAAUUUUAAAAUAGAUAUAUUAAUUUAGUUGAAAGAAUAAAGAAAUUGUUGUGGCCAAAGUAGGAAAAAUAUUAAGUUAGGAGAUAUAUAAUAGUAGAGGAAAGGAAUGAAGGAUUAAAAAGAAAAUUAACCAUUAACCAAAGUGAUAUAUGAGUCAUAUCACAAAAUAUGAAAGAUGAGGAAGGACAAAAUGGUAAUCAUACAAAAUAUGAAAGAUGAGGAAGGACAAAAUGGUAAUCAUUCAAGUGGAUAUUUAUUAGGUGUAAUGAUGAUGGGUAAAAGUAAAAAGAUGGAUAGCUUAAGGACUUAGUAGCAAUUUGACCAUUUUAAGUAUAAAAAGUGGAGAAAUCAACCGACCAAACCUUUAUUCCCUACAUGUCUUUCCAUCAUAGUUUAACAAUCGAAGCUUCAAACCUUUAUUUAUUUUUUUAAAAAAAUUUACUUAGUAAAAAUUAAAGAGUUAAAGACUCAAUCAGCUAAUUUCUCAAAAUUUUAAACUUUCAUUACUUUUUAUGAAAUAAUUUAUUUUUAUUUAACUUUCAUAAUAACUUUGUGUUAAUUCUAUAUUUUUUCGUAAAAAACUUCUAAAAUUUUAUAAUGAAUAUUAAGAAUGGAUUCAAAGUAACACAAUUUUCAAAUUUUCAUUCAUUACUUUUUAUUUCUCACUAUUAUUCUUUUAGUCUCAUGUUUUUGCUUUGUUCAUUUGUAGUUUUCUACUGUUUUUGAAUUCUCAAACUGAUCAUAAUCUUAUAAUGGCUAAAAAAUUAAAGAGAUGGAAGAUAUGUCAUUUGAGGAUUUGGAUUGGGGUACAUUGAAAAAGUGGGCAGCAGCGCUGCAUUACGCUAAUGAACAUGGUUUUCAAGUAGGAUUUGCUAAUAAUCAGUUGCAGAGGAAUGUGGUUGCCUACUUUCAAAAAAAGGAGCUCUAUCAGCUCUCAUAGUUUAUAUUUAUUCCUGUAUCUAACAUUCUGCUAUGUUUUAACGUCUCAUUUUGCGUCAAGUAUAUUUAUGGUUUUCAAUUUCUAAAAUCGUGAGUUGGUGUAUUGGGUAUGUUUUUGUAACAUCCGCGCUUUAAUUUGGGUUAGGUACAGUAAUGGAUCGGGUUAAAAAUUAGUAUAAAAUUUUUAAAAUAUAAUAAAUAGGAAUUUUGAAUAUUAAAUUAGGAAGUAUAUAGAUUCAAUAAGAAAAUAAGAAAAAAAAAAUACUCCUUAGAUAGAAAAUUUUAAAAUAGAUACAUUAAUUUAGUUGAAAGAAUAAAUAAAUUGUUGUAGCCAAAGUAGGAAAAAUAUUAAGUUGGGAGAUAUAUAUAAUAGUAGAGGAAAGGAAUAAAGGAUUAAAAAGAAAUUUAACCAAAGCGAUAUAUGAGUCAUACUAGAAAAUAUGAAAGAUGAGGAAGGACAAAAUUUUAAUUAGCCAAGUGAAUAUUUAUUCGUUGAACAACGAUGGGUAAAAGUACAAAGAUGGAUAGCUUAAGGACUUAGUGGCAAUUUGACCUUUUUAAUUAAAAGGUGAAAUAUUUUAGUGGUAGGAAUAAAUUUUAAAAUUAUACAUUAAUUUUAAUUUAAUGUAUAAUUAUAUAUAUUAAUUUUAAUUUGAUGUAAUUACGUAGUAAAAUUUUAAUUGUGAUUGAAAAGUAUAAUUCAAACUUUAAUUUCAAUUUAAUUUUAAAUAAAUAAAUAUAUUAAUUUAUUUUUAUAUUAAAUAAAUAUAAUUCUUUAUAUAUACAAUAUAUAAAUAAAUAAUUUUAAAUAAAUAAUUAUAUUAAUAAUUUAAAAAAAUCGAAUCAAAUUAAAUCAAAAUCUCAUAAAUAAAAUUAUCAAAUUUAUCAAAUUUAUCGACAGAGUUUUGAAACUUAUCAAAUUCAUCGACAGAGUUUUUGUUCGUCCUUUAGUGUCUGCCGCCGCUUCCCUUAACUUCUAUUUAUUCAAUCCCCAAAUUGAAAUUAGGUCAUUAUUCUCCUCUCUUUCUCUUAUCUCCACUGGAGACAAAACCAAGGAGUAGGUACUACUUAAUUUACCAGCUAAUUUUCAUCGCAGUCCAUGCAUUUCUUGUUUUGAUCUUGCAGAAUUUCUUCUUUUAUUACUUGAGGAAACUUCGUUUAGUAGGGUUUCGUUUUGAUAGUUUAUAUAUCCGUGGUUUGAUCUUUUUUUGUACCUCAGGUCUGUGCUAAAUGAGUGAAAACCAGGACAUCCCUUGCCCGAUUGGGGUUGUUUCUGACGCUGAGAGUGAUCCACCUGAAAAUGAACCGGAUGAUACCCAGAUGAAUUUGUCGAUGUCGACUGGAAGCAAGAAAAGAAGCCGGGAAAUCGAUGACUCAGUGGAGGCUAAAGGAAAAGCCCCCAAGAAAUGGACAUCGGGAAAAGAAGCUUCAAACUCCCAGCAACAGCCAAAACCGAAAAGUGAAAAGAACUGUGGGGAAGCCGUGCAAAACAGAUUGAAAAAUUAUUUUGGAUUGGAUCUGUCUCUGGAUUUAGUCAUUUUGUGUUCUGGUUGUUUCAAGUUCAGACCGUCUUGAGUUUGAGUUCAAGUCAGUUUGAGUUUGCUUCAAUUUGGUUGUCCCAAACGAAGAAACUGUGGUUUUUGUAUGAAAUUGUGUAGUUUGUUGUGUAAUUUGUAUCGUGUGCGUGUGUGUAUGUUAAUGUUAUGUACUCGUCUUAAUAAGAAUUUGAAAUAUGUAAUUGGGUUAGUGUGUUUGUUUUUGUUGGAUUUAGAGGUGUUCGUGGUUUGGAUUUGAGUUGGGUUUAAGUAUAAUAUCAACAUACUUAAUUCUUGUUCAAAUUCGGCUUGAUUUAAAAUUUAAGCUUAAAAUUUUACUUAAGUCCGUUUAUAUUUACAACAGAUUAAUUAAAAUUCAUUUUAAGGGUGGGUUUGGACGAGCGAUUAAGUACAGAUGCGUUUAGUUUAUUUUUUGUCUCACGCUUUAGUAUUACUGCAGUAUCUAAUUUUGCCGCCACCGUUAUUUUUACACUAAUUGUAAGUAAACACAUCGUUCAUCUAAAUUCAUCUUAAGUCAAUUUAUAUUAUUUUAAAAAUAUUUAUAUCAUAUUAUUUUAUUAUUUAAUAAUUCUAUACAUUUUUUAUUUAUUAAAUUUUUUAAUAGUGAUCUUAACAUCAUUUUAAUGUUUAUACUAGUGUAAUAUUAUAUAUUUACUAUAGAUUUAUUUUUUAAUAUGUUUUAAAUUACAUAAUAUAUAAAAAUAACAUAAUGUAAAGUAUCGUAAACUUAAAAUGGGUUGGGUUGGAUCAGGUCGGGCAUAAAAUGUUUAAACUCGAGCUUAACCCGUAUUUUAAACGGGUUUAAUUUUUUUUGUUCAAGUCCAUUUUUCGGAUCUAUUAUUUUUUCCAAACCCUCCCAAUUUUCGCACAGGCCUUUGAACCUAUACGAGUAACCCAAACCAUUAACAAGUCAAAUUCCACCUGUGAUAUAUAUGUGUUCAAAGGCAAAUUUCGUUAGUUUGAAUAUACAAAUUCAAUUCAUGAUUACGAUAUUAUUACUCAAUUGGGCUUAAAGUAAGAAGAUUAGUUAACACUUUUUUUAUGCAUGCGCAUAAGACUCAAUAGAAUUAGUAUCGCAAGGUCAAAGUCGACGCUAAGUUGAAAUUAAACAUUUAUUUAGGGCUAGUUUAAUAUUACUUUUCAAAAGUGCUUUUAAAAAAUGUCGUGAAAAGUUAUUUUUGAAAAGUUUAGUUUAAGAUUUAGUGUUUAGUAUUAUUGUCAAAAAAUACUUUUAAAAGAUAAAAUAUUCAUUUUAAAUAUGAUAUUAUCAAGUAAUAAAUAUGUGUUUAAAUAAUGUUCAAAUUAGUUAAUAUUAUUAUAUUUUAGUAAGAACAUAAAAUAAUAAUUUCUUAUAACCUAUUGUUAAUAUUUUAAUAUAUGAAAUAUAAAUCUUAAAUAUUUUUAAGCAAUAAAUAUUAAUUAUUUAUAAAAUUUAAUUAGAAUCUAUAAAUUAUAUUUUUAAUAAUUAAAUAUAACCAUUAAAUAUUUGUAAUUAGAUAUUAACACAUUUGUAAUUAAACAAUAAGAACAAAAAAAAAGGGAAAGUAUAUGUUGUUGGAAGGGUGAAAAUUUAAUGAAGCAUCAAAAGUACUUUUGGUAGGAGAAAAGCUAAAAAUUUUUGAUAAAAAAAAUACUUGUUUAGCACAACCUUUCUUCUAAAAAUAUGUUUUUUUUACGCAAUACUAAACAAUGCCAUACAAGACUUUGUUUCAAAGAAUUUUCAAAUAAAAAAACUAUUGUGAUUGGAGGACCAUCACUAGAGGCCUGCCCUAAAUAUGGGAAGGUUCGGGUAAAAAUAUAUGCUCGAAAUAUGAGUUUAGGCAAAAAAAUGAGGCCCGUUUAGAAAACGGGUCGGGCGUCGGGCACCACUUUUUUGGCCUGGGCCCGGCCUGAAUAUAAUAAAUAUAUAUUUUUAUUUUUAAAAUAAUUUUUGGUGUUUAUUAAAAAAAUGGGCCGGGCCAGGCCGGGCUCGGGCUUAGGAUUUUUUCCCAGGCCCAGGCCUAAGAGGCGGGCAAAAAUUUUUUUGGGCCCGGCCCGACCCAUGGACACCUUUAACCAUCACCAAGUAGAGAAUGUUGAUGCUUUUUAAGUAUAUGGAUUUAAUCUAAAUUUUUUACAUAAUGUAGGAGCCAAAAUUAAAAUUUAACUAUUAUUUUAUAAUGUAAAAAAAGUACUCUAAAUUUAUUUAAACCUAUCAAAUUGUUUUAAAAAAUUAUUUUUUGGGGAGUUGGUGGUUUGCGCCGAUGCAGGAAGUUGGGCGUGGCAGAACAAAGCCGACGCAAAAGCUUAGGGGUGAUUUAAUCAAAUAGAGUAAAAUUUUUUUUUGUUAAUAAUUUCAUGAAUCAUAUUUUAUCAUAUUUUAUCAAAUUAAGUGAAAUAAAAUUUAAAUUAAGGUGAAUUAAGUAAAAUUAUUUGAAUUAAAUUAAAAAAUUAAACCUAUUAAAUUAAAAUUUUACUAUAAUAUAAAAUUAAAACUAUAUAUCUUUGAAAUUUUUUUAAAGUAAAGUAAAAAUUAACUCUUUGGUAGUUGCCCAGUCCUUUUUUUUUUUUAGUAAAAUUCUCACCGACGACUUUCUUGGUUUCAUCCGCUUUACUCUUUGGUCGUUGCCCAUUCCCCCUUUUUUUUUUUUUUUUUUUAGUUUUGAAACUUAUCAAAUUUAUCAAUAGUUUUUAUGUUUUUUUUCUUCUUUCGAGAAAAUCAUGUUCGUCCUUUAGUGUUCGCCCUUUAGUGUCACCCGACUUCUAGUUAUUCAAUCCCCAAAUCGAAAGAAAAUCAUGUUCGUCCUUUAGUGUCCCCCGACUUCUAUUUAUUCAGUCCCCAAAUUGAAAUAAGGUCAUUAUUCUCCCCUUUUAUCUCCACUGUAGACAAGUCCGAGGAGUAGGUACUACUUAAUACCAGCUCAUUUUCAUCGCAGUCCAUACGUUUCUUGUUUUGAUCUUGCAGAAUUUCUUCUUAUAUUACUUGAGGAAACUUCGUUUCGUAGGGUUUCGUUUUGAUAGUUUAUAUAUCCGUGGUUUGAUCUUUUUUUGUUCCUUAGGUCUGUGCUAAAUGAGUGAAAACCAGGACAUCCCUUGCCCGAUUGGGGUUGUUUCGGACGCUGAGAGUGAUCCACCUGAUAAUGAACCGGAUGAUACCCAGAUGCAUUUGUCGAUGUCGACUGGAAGCAAGAAAAGAAGCCGGGAAAUCAAUGAUUCAGUGGAAGCUAAAGGAAAAGCCCCCAAGAAAUGGACAUCGGGAAAAGAGGCUUCAACCUCCCAGCAACAGCCAAAACCGAAAAGUGAAAAGAACUGUGGGGAAGCUGUGCAAAACAGAUUGAAAAUUUUCCACCAUCAAAUUGACAGACGAAGAAAGACGGUAAAGUGUCCUAAUUGAACUAAGUAUUUCAUAUUAGAUUCACAUUAAAAACUAAGAAUUUCAUAUUAGAUUCACUUUUUUAUUAUCUUUUAUGCAUACAUUUUGAACGUAAGAAGAUCCCAUGUCAUCUGGUAAGUAUUGGACUAUUUUCUAAACAGACAAUACACAACAAUACAUCAGAACUGUACAGUUUGGAAAUCCUUGCAUCAGCAAUAUCUUUAUAUCUUGUUU
rnacentral:lncRNA from 1 species